UAGAGAUUUAACAAAAUGCAAUCCAUUUAUUAUCAUUAACAAAUAUCAUCUAAUAACAUCGUGGAAAAUAAUACUAUUAGUUUAAAAGUUUGUCCAGCACCUUUACUAGAUACAUUCAUUACGUAGCUUAAAAUGGGCUAUAAAAUUACAACCCAUUAAUUUUUUAAGUUAUACUAUCGUAUAUAUAUAAAUCAUGCAAAUGUUCUUAUUUUAACUGUCCAAUUUCGCCAAUUGUUAAGACAUUUUAUAAUCAUUUCUUUUAGUCUUUUACAAAGAAUAAGUCUCAUAAAUAUGUAUACAUGAUCAAUUAUUACAUGUAUAUUCCAUUUAUGAUUAUAUUAAAAGAUAUGAACAAAAUGCAUCAAAUAUUCAACCAUCUCAGUUAAUAUAUACAUACUAAUGCCUUAAAUAUAAACAAAUUUUGCAACACCGGCCAGGUACAUCAUUUACUGUGAGAUAAGAAUGUGCAAAUGCAAUCCUUACAGUAAUUAACUCUAUGUGCUAUAGAAUUCUACUGUCCGAAAAUCUCUCUGCCACGUGUGUUUGUUACUAAUAAUAGGGAUGACCGCAUUGAGUGUGACGUAGUGAUACCUGUAAUCUGAAAAUGUGCUAUUUCAGGUAUGCAAAUAUCACUACACAAAUACUGACCCUAGAUGUAUACGCUGAUGGUAAAUGGUACAGUAUGACUGACGCCCAGAGGGAGAAAUUACACCCUAUUGUUAUCAGCAACAACUGGAUAAUAGGAAACAAGAACAAAAUCAACAGAGCAAAGAAAUGGAAUCACUGGUUUAUACGUCAUGAUAAUACAUGUGAUAUGGACACGGUUAAAAAGAUUUUGUACACAGAAGUGUAGUAAGUCAAUGUUGAGGAUAUCUACAACAAUGUGAGAGGAUCACCAUGGUUAUGGCAUCAUAAUGAAUCUAUUACGAUUUUAAUGUAUUUUCUUUUUCAUUUUGAUUAUCGGGCUGAACUUCGGAUACUUUGUCUACAAAUAAUAUAUCCACUUUCUUAUGAUUGCUACAGAUCUGUUAUAAAUCACGAACCUGCAGAAAUUAAGCAAUUAUCAUUCGCUGUAUACAUCAGUCCAAAAUGUUUUAUCGAUCUAAUCGGACAGCCCAUUUACUUGAAGAUGCACAUUUAUCCCUCAGGUCAUUGUUUAGUCAGCAUCGAAGUAUGAGAUUAUAUAAAAAAAUAUAUCGUUUUGGGGUAAAUUUCUAGUUUUACAAGACUAGAUAUUAAAUAUGUCGCCUUUUACGUUCGCUCCGAUUUCACUUCUUUUACAAAGUAAAUCGAGUAUUUUUACAGAAGUGUUAUCAAAGAGACUAUUGUAAAAGACUAUCAUGACUAAAAAUGUCAACCUUUUAUUUUGCUAUACUUUGUAGUUUCACUGGAUUAUAAUAUGCUGCUGCAUUUCUUACAAAGUGUACCGAGUAAUUUUGUCAAAACGACCAUUCAAAAAGACUGUGACUAAAACUGGCAGUCUAUUAUUUUGCCAGAUCCGUUUAAUUCAUGUUAAAGUCAAUCGUGUUGUCUUUUUCUUGUCCUUUUUAUCAGCGUUUUAAUAACAUUAAACUGUGUUGAAAAUUUAAACAUAUUUUUGUCAUAUGUAGUCCAAUAUCACAGCAUUAUAUGAUCCGGAAUACUCAUAUAUUUUAUUUCUUUUGUCAUUCCAUUGUUAGCAAAUGUACAUGCCAAGUGAUAUUAAAUCAAUAAAAUUACAUGUAUGUCUUGUAUAGAUGAUCUACGUUAUAUAAUAAAUCGGCAGAAAUAGUAUA